UACGAAGGGGGCUAGCGUUGCUCGGAAUCACUGGGCGUAAAGGGUGCGUAGGCGGGUCUUUAAGUUAGGGGUGAAGUCCUGGAGCUCAACUCCAGAACUGCCUUUGAUACUGAAGAUCUUGAGUCCGGGAGAGGUGAGCGGAACUGCGAGUGUAGAGGUGAAAUUCGUAGAUAUUCGCAAGAACACCAGUGGCGAAGGCGGCUCACUGGCCCGGUACUGACGCUGAGGCACGAAAGCGUGGGGAGCAAACAGG
rnacentral:rRNA from 1 species